rnacentral:rRNA from 1 species
AUUGAACGCUGGCGGCAGGCCUAACACAUGCAAGUCGAGCGAGCGGCGGACGGGUGAGUAAUGUAUGGGAAACUGCCCGAUAGAGGGGGAUAACUACUGGAAACGGUAGCUAAUACCGCAUACUAUCGGAUGUACCCAGAUGGGAUUAGCUUGUGGGUGGGGUAACGGCUCACCAAGGCGACGAUCCCUAGCUGGUCUGAGAGGAUGAUCAGCCACACUGGGACUGAGACACGGCCCAGACUCCUACGGGAGGCAGCAGUGGGGAAUAUUGCACAAUGGGCGCAAGCCUGAUGCAGCCAUGCCGCGUGUAUGAAGAAGGCCUUCGGGUUGUAAAGUACUUUCAGCGGGGAGGCGUUACCCGCAGAAGAAGCACCGGCUAACUCCGUGCCAGCAGCCGCGGUAAUAC